UACGUAGGGUGCGAGCGUUGUCCGGAAUUAUUGGGCGUAAAGAGCUCGUAGGCGGCUUGUCGCGUCGGAUGUGAAAGCCCGGGGCUUAACUCCGGGUCUGCAUUCGAUACGGGCAGGCUAGAGUUCGGUAGGGGAGAUCGGAAUUCCUGGUGUAGCGGUGAAAUGCGCAGAUAUCAGGAGGAACACCAGCGGCGAAGGCGGCGAUCUGGGCCAGUACUGACGCUGAGGAGCGAAAGCGUGGGGAGCGAACAGG
rnacentral:rRNA from 1 species